rnacentral:rRNA from 1 species
GAUGAACGCUGGCGGCGUGCUUAACACAUGCAAGUCGAACGAAGCACUUUGAUUUCCUCGGAAAGAUGAGUGACUGAGUGGCGGACGGGUGAGUAACGCGUGGGUAACCUGCCUCAUACAGGGGGAUAACAGUUGGAAACGACUGCUAAUACCGCAUAAGCGCACAGUACCGCAUGGUACAGUGUGAAAAACUCCGGUGGUAUGAGAUGGACCCGCGUCUGAUUAGCUAGUUGGUGAGGUAACGGCCCACCAAGGCGACGAUCAGUAGCCGACCUGAGAGGGUGACCGGCCACAUUGGGACUGAGACACGGCCCAAACUCCUACGGGAGGCAGCAGUGGGGAAUAUUGCACAAUGGGCGAAAGCUUGAUGCAGCGACGCCGCGUGAGCGAAGAAGUAUUUCGGUAUGUAAAGCUCUAUCAGCAGGGAAGAUAAUGACGGUACCUGACUAAGAAGCCCCGGCUAACUACGUGCCAGCCGCCGCGGUAAAAC